rnacentral:rRNA from 1 species
CCUACGGGAGGCUGCAGUGAGGAAUAUUGGUCAAUGGACGCAAGUCUGAACCAGCCAAGUAGCGUGCAGGAUGACGGCCCUAUGGGUUGUAAACUGCUUUUAUGUGGGAAUAAAUUGGCGCACGUGUGCGCCAUUGCAUGUACCUCAUGAAUAAGGACCGGCUAAUUCCGUGCCAGCAGCCGCGGUAAUACGGAAGGUCCGGGCGUUAUCCGGAUUUAUUGGGUUUAAAGGGAGUGUAGGCGGUCUGUUAAGCGUGUUGUGAAAUUUAGGUGCUCAACAUUUAACUUGCAGCGCGAACUGUCAGACUUGAGUACACGCAGCGCAGGCGGAAUUCAUGGUGUAGCGGUGAAAUGCUUAGAUAUCAUGAGGAACUCCGAUCGCGAAGGCAGCCUGCGGGAGUGUUACUGACGCUUAAGCUCGAAGGUGCGGGUAUCGAACAGGAUUAGAACCCGGGUAGUC